ACUGUACAAAGGUAGCAUAAUAAUUAGUUUAUUAAUUAUAAACUUGUAUGAAAGAUUUAAUGUAAUAAAUACUAUUUCAAUUUAAAAAAAUUAAUUUUUUUUUUAAGUUAAAAAACUUAAAUUUUUUUAAAAGACGAGAAGACCCUAUAGAAUUUUAUAUUUUAUUGGGGUGAUUGUAAAAUUUAAUAAACUUUUAUAUAAAAUAACAAUAAUUAUUGAAUAAAUUAUAUUUUUUUAAAAAAAUUAAAUAAAAUUACCUUAGGGAUAACAGCAUAA
rnacentral:rRNA from 1 species